rnacentral:lncRNA from 1 species
GUUUACAGUAGAGGCUCGAAUGAAAUUUGCUUAUAGUAGAUAUCUGGGGUAGACAGCCCGCUAUAGGAAUUAAGAGUAGACCACUCGUAGUAGAAGUUCAACUCUCGCGGGAGCUUGGUUGGGAUCCGGAAGGGAUUUGGAGAAUAGUUGAUUACUGUAGAAGGUCGGCUGGCAGUGAGGCUUAGAGAGCUUUUGGGGUGGCCCGGU